rnacentral:rRNA from 1 species
GAUGAACGCUGGCGGCGUGCCUAAUACAUGCAAGUCGAGCGAACAGACGAGGAUCUUGCUCCUCUGACGUUAGCGGCGGACGGGUGAUUAACACGUGGAUAACCUACCUAUAAGACUGGGAUAACUUCGGGAAACCGGAGCUAAUACCGGAUAAUAUAUUGAACCGCAUGGUUCAAUAGUGAAAGACGGUUUUGCUGUCCCUUAUAGAUGGAUCCUCACCGCAUUAGCUAGUUGGUAAGGUAACGGCUUACCAAGGCAACGAUGCGUAGCCGACCUGAGAGGGUGAUCGGCCACACUGGAACUGAGACACGGUCCAGACUCCUACGGGAGGCAGCAGUAGGGAAUCUUCCGCAAUGGGCGAAAGCCUGACGGAGCAACGCCGCGUGAGUGAUGAAGGUCUUCGGAUCGUAAAACUCUGUUAUUAGGGAAGAACAAAUGUGUAAGUAACUAUGCACGUCUUGACGGUACCUAAUCAGAAAGCCACGGCUAACUACGUG